CCUGUAAGCAAUGUAUAACAAACAAAUCGUCUUUGGUUUGACCCUUUAACCUGUCCGACACGAACGCAGGAUGUGUGCUCCAAGAAAUUUUAGAACGAACUGUUGUUUAAGACCACAAUACCGACCUAUAAGACAUGAAUUAUUGGAUCUCAUUGUGGAUGUGGAAGUUGUCCAAGAGCGUCCUGCAAGAAGUCUCAUGGAUAGAUUAUUCUACAUUCUAACUGUUACGUCAAUAGUAUUAUUGAUAUAUUGUAUUAUUUAUGGCAUUAUCUAUAUUUACCGUUGGGUGGAAAUGUUAAUAAUCAAUUUUUAUUUGGACUACAUUCAUUACUAUGUUCGGACGGCGUUUUGGUUUAUAAUUGGCAAACUGUUUAUUAAGGAAAAUGUGACCUCUACGAAAUAAUACGUAUGAAGUCACUUAUUUUAUAAAAUGACUGAUCUUAAAAUUCUGUAUAUGUAGAACUAAUUGUAUUGUAUUAAUUAAUAUUCGUGUGUAUUAAGCCAUUUUUUACAAAUAUUUAGUUAUAUUUUACUAUAGGAAAUUCUUUAGAAUUUUAUGACUGUUUUUAAAAAUUGUGUAGACUGUAAAACUGAUCCAUGUAUAUUGAAUUGAAUAUUCGUGUAUGUUAAGCCAUUGUAUUUAGUUAUAUUUUACUAUAACAAAUGUUUUAAAACCUUAUAAAUAUUUUUAAAAACUGUAGAAUCGAUUGUAUCUUAAUAUUAAUGUCUAUUAAUUCAUUAUGUAAAUGUAAAUCGUAGAACUGAUUAUUUUAUGUUAAUAAUAAUGUGUAUUAAGCCAUAGUUUUUUACAUAAAUUUAAUUGUACUUUACUGUAGAAAAUUGUUUUUAGAAAUUCUGUAAUCUGUAGAACUAAUUGUACUGUUUGUAUUAAGCCAUUAUUUGUAUCUUUACAAAAAAUUAGUUGUAUUAUGCUGAUAUAAAUUCUUUCUUAUAUCUUGUUUAUAAUAGCUUUUCUCAUUAUGUUUUAUAAAAGAUUUUAUAAAAUUAAACUUAAAUCAUUAGCUGUUAUUUUAUACAUACAUUUAGAAUUACUUUUGAAUUACCUGUAAUAUGUU